rnacentral:rRNA from 1 species
GAUGAACGCUGGCGGCGUGCUUAACACAUGCAAGUCGAACGGAAAGGCUCCUGCUUGCAGGGGUACUCGAGUGGCGAACGGGUGAGUAACACGUGGGUGAUCUGCCCUGCACUUCGGGAUAAGCCUGGGAAACUGGGUCUAAUACCGGAUAGGACGAUGGUUUGGAUGCCAUUGUGGAAAGUUUUUUCGGUGUGGGAUGAGCUCGCGGCCUAUCAGCUUGUUGGUGGGGUAAUGGCCUACCAAGGCGUCGACGGGUAGCCGGCCUGAGAGGGUGUACGGCCACAUUGGGCCUGAGAUACGGCCCAGACUCCUACGGGAGGCAGCAGUGGGGAAUAUUGCACAAUGGGCGCAAGCCUGAUGCAGCGACGCCGCGUGGGGGAUGACGGCCUUCGGGUUGUAAACUCCUUUCGCUAGGGACGAAGCGCAAGUGACGGUACCUGGAGAAGAAGCACCGGCUAACUACGUG